GGGCCUGUAGUCUAGCGGAUAGGACACCGGGCUUCGGACCCGGCAACCAGGGUUCAAAUCCCUGCAGGCCCG
rnacentral:tRNA from 1 species